UGCGUGCGUGUGUGUGUGUGUGUGUGUGUGUGUGCACGCUCCCUACCUUCAGCCCCACGCACACA
rnacentral:miRNA from 1 species